rnacentral:rRNA from 1 species
ACGGCCAUACCAUGCUGAAUAUAUCGGUUCUCAUUAGAUCACCGAAGUCAAGCAUCAUUGGGCGCGGCCAGUACUUGGGCGGGUGACCAAAUGGGAACACCGCGUGCCGUU